rnacentral:pre_miRNA from 1 species
AAAGUACUCCCUCCGUCCCAAAAUUCUUGUCUUAGAUUUUUCUAGAUACGGAUGUAUCAAGUCACAUUUUAGUAUUAGAUACAUCCGUAUGUAGACAAAUCUAAGACAAGAAAUUUGGGACAGAGGGAGUAGUUG